GGCUUCAUGGUCUAGUGGUAUGAUUCCUGCUUUGUAAGUUCUCAUUCAUCCAUCACUUCUGUACAACAAUAUUCUAAUUCAGCAACCAGGGGUUCACAGCUCAAACCUGCAGGAGGCCC